UUACCAGAGAUGGUUUGGUGCUCGAAAGAGAACCUGCACACAGGUGCUGCAUGGCUGUCGUCAGCUCGUGUCGUGAGAUGUUGGGUUAAGUCCCGCAACGAGCGCAACCCUUGCCAUUAGUUGCUACAUUCAGUUGAGCACUCUAAUGGGACUGCCGGUGACAAACCGGAGGAAGGUGGGGAUGACGUCAAGUCCUCAUGGCCCUUAUAGGUGGGGCUACACACGUCAUACAAUGGCUGGUACAAAGGGUUGCCAACCCGCGAGGGGGAGCUAAUCCCAUAAAGCCAGUCGUAGUCCGGAUCGCAGUCUGCAACUCGACUGCGUGAAGUCGGAAUCGCUAGUAAUCGUGGAUCAGAAUGUCACGGUGAAUACGUUCCCGGGUCUUGUACACACCGCCCGUCACACCAUGGGAGCGGGUCU
rnacentral:rRNA from 1 species